rnacentral:lncRNA from 1 species
GAAUUUGUCGGUUAAAAAGAGUCAACAAGAAUAUUACUUUAAUUUGGAUUAAUUCAUGAUGGUUAAGUAUCAACGUAAUUACGUGUGGAGUCCUGGACCUUCCAUGGUUCCCGCGAAGGUUAAAUUUGUUUUUUUUCUUCUCUGUCUUCGUUAUUUUUGUAAUUGUCUUCAGUUUCACUUUAUAAUUAAGGUGGUGACAUCACUAUCGUCGGGCCGAGUGACGUCAUGGCGUCUAUGUGUCUAAUUCACCGAUAUAGACGUGGCGCUUCUGUGGACCCUGAUGGCUAAUUUGCCGACGGCGGCUUCUACUUCAACUUCAGUCACAUUUGUCUGUCACGCGAUUGUUUCGCACGUACAUAACACGUCGAGGAGUCUACUAAAGCCUUUGAAAAAUUCUGAUUAAGUUGAUCUGUU